UGGGAAAUUUUACGCAAUGGGGGAAACCCUGACGUAGCGACACCGCGUGAGCGAAGAAGCCUUUUGGGGUGUAAAGCUCUGUCAGCUGGAACGAACACAAUGACGGUACCAGCAGAGGAAGCAUCGGCUAACUACGUGCCAGCAGCCGCGGUAAGACGUAGGAUGCAAGCGUUGUCCGGACUCAUUGGGCGUAAAGAGUUCGUAGGUGGUCUGUUAAGUUUGGUGUUAAAGAGCGGGGCCCAACCCCGAUAGUGCACUGAAUACUGGCAGACUUGAGUGCGGUAGAGGUAAGUGGAAUUCCGAGUGUAGCGGUGAAAUGCAUAGAUAUUUGGAAGAACACCGGUGGCGUAAGCGACUUACUGGGCCGUAACUGACACUGAGGAACGAAAGCCGGGGUAGCGAAUG
rnacentral:rRNA from 1 species